rnacentral:tRNA from 5 species
GCCCUUUAGCUCAGUGGUGAGAGCGAGCGACUCAUAAUCGCCAGGUCGCUGGUUCGAAUCCAGUACAACGCGCCA